rnacentral:lncRNA from 10 species
CUUCUCAAUUUUCAUCUCGUGAGUGUAGCAACAUGAAUUAUAGCUUGUCAAGCAAUACAUUUUCUCAGCGUUGAGAAGAUUCUGCUCCAUUUUUUCUGAUUAUGGAUUCUGUUCAGAAGGAAGCCGAAUUUUAAGUCAUCGUUCUAGGAUAGGUUGGGGACGUUCUCCUGGAUAAUAUACUGAAGAGUGUUUUCCAACUUGGCUCCAU